UACGGAGGGUGCGAGCGUUGUCCGGAAUCACUGGGCGUAAAGGGCGCGUAGGCGGCAUGCCAAGCGUGUGGUGAAAGCCCGGGGCUCAACCCCGGGUCGGCCGUGCGGACUGGCAUGCUCGAGCACUGUAGGGGCGGGUGGAAUUCCGGGUGUAGCGGUGGAAUGCGUAGAGAUCCGGAAGAACACCGGUGGCGAAGGCGGCUCUCUGGGACGGUACUGACGCUGAGACGCGAAAGCGUGGGGAGCGAACGAGG
rnacentral:rRNA from 1 species